UGAACUUUCAGUCACAUUAUGCCAUGUAUAGUGAGACAUAACAAUCCCACAAAAGAAUACAGUGAGAAUUGCACUUAAAUAGAAUAGUUCAGCCAGCAUAUAUGAAAGGUAAGCCAUAAGAAUCAUUAGAGCAACCUCACGGUCAGUAGAGUGCCUGCCAAAGUAAAGCUUCUUAAUAAUGUAUGCACUGAGUAGUCCAGCUAAAACUCCCAAAAUGGUGCUUGAGAUAAACAGAUUUAGAAAGUUCCCAACAAAUUGCAUUGCGGCACUUGAAUUGAUGUGGGAGAGAUCAAAGCUCUGGAUUGCAUUG
rnacentral:misc_RNA from 1 species